rnacentral:rRNA from 1 species
UACAGAGGUGGCAAGCGUUGUUCGGAAUUACUGGGCGUAAAGGGCGCGUAGGCGGCCUACUAAGUCAGACGUGAAAUCCCCCGGCUUAACCUGGGAACUGCGUCUGAUACUGGAAGGCUUGAGGAUGGGAGAGGGAUGUAGAAUUCCAGGUGUAGCGGUGAAAUGCGUAGAUAUCUGGAGGAAUACCGGUGGCGAAGGCGGCAUCCUGGACCAUUACUGACGCUGAGACGCGAAAGCGUGGGGAGCAAACAGG